rnacentral:lncRNA from 1 species
CAGUCGAAGGCCACGAGAAAGGACACAUUACAGCUUUGGUGCGCAGUGAACAGACAGAGCUUAUAGCUUUUCCGCUGCCGGCCAAUUCAGCAUUUGAAAAUGAUAUGAAGUGUCUGGACUUAUCUUCUUCGUGGUGAAAAAAGAAAGUCUUCUGUGAUCUACGUCCGAUACCUAAGCCGUUAAGUAGUGCCGAAACGGUUGGCUCUUAGCGCGAAAUGACGUGUGCCUACGCCUGCAUUCUAACCCAGAUCACCACGUAUCCUUAAGCUUAGCAGGCCAAUACGUUACCCACUGCGUAAUUACGGAAAUAAUCACUAGGUGAUAUAUAUGUAUAUGUUAGUUUUACAAGCAAAUCUGGCCGACUUUGAAAUCGAAUAACUUUUGAACUACGCGCUCUGAAUUUUGGCUGGUGAAUACUCCAAUCGUCUAGAAACUAGUCUCAGCGACCCACUAACAUUUUUAUGACCGGAUGAUGGAUGUGAACCCUUCAUACCGUUCCCUAGGGACAAUCUCAUUUCUACUGACAUGUGCCCUUCUCGGAUAUGGAUGAGCGCCGUACAGGUAGCGCUUGUUGGAUGUGCCACUGGGCUCUUUUCCACGCGGACAAGUUGUGGCGGAGGUUCGAAUCGGGGCGUAGACACACGGUUCGUUUCUUGCUGGCAAGGGCCAGCUGUCUGUCUGCUGCAAUACCAACUUACCGGACGUUAAACUCGAAACAUAGAGGUUAAGAGCGUUCUCUUUCAUCUGGUGAGGUUGUAGGGGCGGCAUACCCUGCCGCCUAUGAUCGUCCACACAAUUAGAUGGAAGAGGCAUAUUA